AAACUGUAUUGGUACUUAGUGAAUUUGCGUUUAUUGUUAUAUUUACAGUGUAACUUAAUUAGCAGCGUCCUCCUUAAAUGCGCCAACAACAUUGAGAGUAACGUCCUCCUCUCUGCCCCUUAAUGCUCUCCGGUCGCUAUGGUAACGCGUAAAUAUUUCUUUCAAAAUAAGACACACAACUACAACACGGGAAAAGACCCAGGGAAAAUGAGUUAACGAUAAAAACCCUGAAAACCAUAAAUUUCACACCCGAACCUCAACUCUCACGGCCCCGUACCAAACGGCCCGGGUGUUGGGGGCCGCUGUAGGCUACUAACAGAGACUUGAAUGAGAGACCUAAUGUUUAAUAAUCCACAUUGCACUGUUUUACUCUGUGGUGGAGAUGUGGAUACUGUAUUGUUCUUUCUUUGUGAUUUUGUUUUUUAUGUUUAAAUCGUUUUUUGCUGGUUUUUAGUUUGUUUUUUGUCUGUUUUGCAGCUGACACAGGGGGGUGGAGAUUUGGGGGCAUAAUAGGUCCACUGUUUAUAAAGAUUUAUUGAGAUAUUUAAACUUGUUAGCAUUCAUCUAUCACACAAUAAAUGCAAUUAAUUUUUUCCGAUAUAUCCAACACCAACAGCUUUAUAUUUAAAACUGUCCCUGCCUGUCCUCACCCCCACCAAUUACUUUUUUCACUCAAUUAUGGAUGGCUCUGGUUCAACUCUUUUGAAAGAGUGUACUCCACAGAAUGAUCUGAAACUGAGUCAUGUUAUGUGACUCCUUCAAAAAAAAAAAAAAAAAACAUGCUAUGAACUUUUUAAAGAUAAUUACUUCCUGUAGGACUGCUAGCAAAAUACGCCAUCAGAGGUUACAACAGAACAUUUCUGAUGCAAUCCAGCUGUGCCCUCUGUUCGUAGCCUAAUUGCUCAACACCAUGAUUAGUCAUCAUUUUACAUAGACAAGUUUUGUUUUUUUUUUGUUUUUUAAUGAAUUAAUACUGCACUUAAGUGUGUUUGGAGCUACUUUUACUGUUUUACUUUGUUCUCUAAUACUUUAUAAUUAAAUAUUGCAUGCUUAGGGAGUUACUUUUUUAAAUAACUGUAUCUUUUCAUACUGUGUCUCUAUGGAUGUUAGACAAGAGCUCUAUAUAAGUACCAUUUACUAUAUCUAUACAUCAAGGAAGCAGAUUGUCUGAAUCUGCGUGACAUGGUGCGUUAUCUCUCUGUAAGCAGUCAUCAGGAGAUCGGUACGCUCAGUCACUUGAACCGCUGCUACAAGACUAUAUGGAUCCAUGUCUUCAUGCCACACCAAAUUCUGAACGUUGCAGAAGAAAUGGAGACCCAUCACGCCAAGCAAUGUUUUUCCCAGUCUUUUAUUUUCCUACGUUUGUGAGGCUGUGUGAGCUCUAGGCUCAGUUUGCUGCUGUUAGCUGACAGGAGC
ensembl:lncRNA